AUCCUUUCGUAGUUCACGAGCAUGACGAAUGGGUGUUCACAUGCUUAUGUGAGAUGUGCCACUCUUGAGCUUUGUCACAACAUCGGCACGUUACCCAUAUGACC